rnacentral:tRNA from 1 species
GGACCUAUAGCUCAGUUGGCUAGAGCGCCACGUUGACAUCGUGGAGGUCACAGGUUCGAGUCCUGUUAGGUCCAC